rnacentral:rRNA from 1 species
GACAGAGGGUGCAAACGUUGUUCGGAAUUACUGGGCGUAAAGCGCAUGUAGGCGGCCUAGCAGGUCGGAUGUGAAAUCCCUCGGCUCAACCAAGGAAGUGCAUUCGAAACCGCAAGGCUCGAGUCCCGGAGAGGAUGGUGGAAUUCUCGGUGUAGAGGUGAAAUUCGUAGAUAUCGAGAGGAACACCUGCGGCGAAGGCGGGUUGCUGGGCUGACACUGACGCUGAAGCGCGAAAGCCAGGGGAGCGAACGGG